GGGCAGUAUUAUGGAGUGGCUAGGAGCAUGAACUUUGUAGCCAGAGCGCCUGUGUCAAGGAAAGAUCUACCACUGCAUUUUUCUGCAAGACUGACAAAGUUAACUGACUUCUCUGUGCAUCAGUGUCCUCAGCUAUAAUAUAAGGAUCAUGAUAGUGCUUCAUGGGCUUUAUUAAAUCACAGGACACACAAGUGAAGAACAAUGAAUAAGAGGAUGAAACAAUUAAUAUGGGUGCAAACAUUUCAUCAUUAAUUUUUAAGGGAUUUUUAAAGAAAAGCUAGUAAAAUUUCCGUGUCAAACAACAUGCUUUAAGAAAAGAGAAACCUCUUUGGCUGGUAACUGUGUCUUCAGCCCUUCAGACAAGACAUGCUCGAGGAAAAAAACGGCAGUAGUUGCAGCACCGACAUAGACCCCAGCCUUGGUUUAAUUGUCAUUUUCUCAUGAAUCUGAAAACAGCCUUUUCACCUUGAAAGAGGAAAGUCGGCAAAUAACACACGUGUUAUGAGACUUGAAACUUUCCCAUUAAACGUACUGUGUUUUUUAACCUGUAAUUAUAACAAUUUUCCUUUUAAAUCUUGUCUAGAGCUGAAUCUUUUAUUCUUUUGGAAAUUGGGUAAAUGUUUAAUACUAGAAGACAUAAUCUCUUAGCUUUGUAGGUGAAGAAACUGUGAUCCAAGGAGUAAAACAAUUUACUCAAGGUCACAUAUUUAGUCAUUGUAAAGCACCUACCACAACACUUCACACAUAACAUGUUUACAAUAAAGAGAAAAU
rnacentral:lncRNA from 1 species